rnacentral:tRNA from 3 species
GGGCCUUUAGCUCAGUUGGUUAGAGCACGCGACUCAUAAUCGCUAGGUCCCCGGUUCGAGCCCGGGAAGGCCCACCA